rnacentral:lncRNA from 1 species
AGGUUUGGUAAAGGAGGCUCAUUAAUGAAAAGCACCAUAAAGGAGGCUCAUUAAUGAAGAACACAUUAAAAGGAGGCUCAUUAAUGAAGAGUGAAGCUUUGGAGACGACAGAAUUACAUCUAAAACAAGGCCCUCAUUUAUUAAAACAUCUCUUAAGGAAAUCUCGAUGAUGGCUAACUGACAAGCCCGGCUUUCUGGCUCAAUCAAAGAUUCAUGCAGUGUUGGUGGGGUGAAGAAGGGCAUCCGAAAAAGAAAGUUGACCAAAAAUUUGACGCACUGAGAAGCGAUGUCGAAAGGAGCCAUGAAAAAAAAUAUCACCAAUUCCAGUUAU